GCGGGGCGGACGGAAGGUGAGAAGGGACCGCGGAAGGCUGGCGUGCGUGGCAUGUGCUGGAAGGGCUCCCGGUGGCCGGCCAUGUUUGAGCCUGGCAAGAGCGACGGGGUCCCGCAGGGACUGCCUUCCUCUUGCACGAACUAAUCAGAUCACAGAGCGACCUUUGGCUUUUCCUUGGCUGCAAGACGACUGAGGAGGAAAAUUUUCUUGAGACACAGAAGUCUGGGGCGUGCAGAGGAGUACAGGCUGCUAAAUACGAAACAAUCAUAAGACUAUCCCAAGACUGGCUGUUAGCUACGGCUGGGUUUUAAGGUGGUUCUAUUCACUUGCUGAACCGAGUUCUGAGGAAGCAGGAAUUGAAACGGGAAGAACAACAAGGUGUAUUGCAGUAGCCCCAAAUCUGGCCUCACGUAUUCUUGGCCUCCUCAGGCUGAAGUGAUCUAAUGCAAAUCUGAACAUGUCAUUCCGACAAGGAAGGCACGGAGUAGAUCUAAUCAAAGCUGCCUAACA